AAAUGACUCUCGGCAACGGAUAUCCCGGCUCUCGCAUCGAUGAAGAACGUAGCGAAAUGCGAUACUYGGUGUGAAUUGCAGAAUCCCGUGAACCAUCGAGUCUUUGAACGCAAGUUGCGCCUGAAGCCAUUAGGCUGAGGGCACGUCUGCCUGGGUGUCAUGC
rnacentral:rRNA from 1 species